CCUACGGGUGGCAGCAGUGGGGAAUAUUGCACAAUGGGGGAAACCCUGAUGCAGCGACGCCGCGUGAGUGAAGAAGCGUUUCGGCGCGUAAAGCUCUGUCAGCGGGGAAGAAACACGGUUCGCGAGAGCCGCGGACGGUACCUGGGGAGGAAGCUCCGGCUAACUACGUGCCAGCAGCCGCGGUAAUACGUAGGGAGCGAGCGUUGUCCGGAAUUACUGGGUGUAAAGGGAGCGUAGGCGGGACUGCAAGUUGGGUGUCAAAUCUACCGGCUCAACCGGUAGCCGCACUCAAAACUGCAGUUCUUGAGUGAAGUAGAGGCAGGCGGAAUUCCUAGUGUAGCGGUGAAAUGCGUAGAUAGUAGGAGGAACACCAGUGGCGAAGGCGGCCUGCUGGGCUUUUACUGACGCUGAGGCUCGAAAGUGUGGGGAGCAAACAGGAUUAGAUACCCGGGUAGUC
rnacentral:rRNA from 1 species